rnacentral:rRNA from 1 species
AAACCAACAGGGAUUGCCUUAGUAGCGGCGAGUGAAGCGGCAAAAGCUCAAAUUUGAAAUCUGGCACCUUCGGUGUCCGAGUUGUAAUUUGAAGAUUGUAACCUUGGGGUUGGCUCUUGUCUAUGUUUCUUGGAACAGGACGUCACAGAGGGUGAGAAUCCCGUGCGAUGAGAUGCCCAAUCCUAUGUAAGGUGCUUUCGAAGAGUCGAGUUGUUUGGGAAUGCAGCUCUAAGUGGGUGGUAAAUUCCAUCUAAAGCUAAAUAUUGGCGAGAGACCGAUAGCGAACAAGUACAGUGAUGGAAAGAUGAAAAGAACUUUGAAAAGAGAGUGAAAAAGUACGUGAAAUUGUUGAAAGGGAAGGGUUUGAGAUCAGACUCGAUAUUUUGUGAGCCUUGCCUUCGUGGCGGGGUGACCCGCAGCUUAUCGGGCCAGCAUCGGUUUGGGCGGUAGGAUAAUGGCGUAGGAAUGUGACUUUGCUUCGGUGAAGUGUUAUAGCCUGCGUUGAUGCUGCCUGCCUAGACCGAGGACUGCGAUUUUAUC